rnacentral:lncRNA from 1 species
AUUAAAGGGCCCUAUAGCGACAUAACCGUCGCUAUAGGUGUUCUUGAUGCCUGCCCAGAUCUUCAAGUCAGUGAACAAGGUAGGUGGUUUGACCGGAUGUAGAUCUUUGGUCCUUACGUUUUCUGGGUUGCUAAAGUGUUAAGAUUGUAGUACUUGUGUAGUACUACAACUACAAACGACUUUCAUGGCCAUCAUACAUCUAAACAGAAAGUUAUAAGCCAUCAAAAUCCUUAUCAGACAUGUUCUUCAUUUUCUGGGUUACCCAGAAAAUGAAGAACAGUCAAGGUACCUACUUUGGAUCCUUAUAGUUUGCAGUAAAGGUCUUGUUUGUAUAAUAUAGUGGUUCCAUCAUGUAGACAUAAUGUCAGAGUACAACUACAUAACCUCAUAUCAGUCUAAUAAACAUUACAGAUGAGAGAUUAAGGCCUGUUAAAGUGAUGUCAGGAGCUGUUCUUCACGAUUUCUAGGUUUUCCAGAUUUCGUCAAGAACAGUUGGUCAACGUGGUUUUGACUGUGAUUUUCUACGAUUAUGAUACAGAUCUGGGAGAUCUAAAGGUUUUAAUAUGUACACUUCAUGUCAUACUACAAGGAUCUAACCACAACAUAGCCUAAAUCAUUACAACAAGAGAAAUCAGAGGCCAUCAAAAACAUGUCAGAAUUUCUGGGAAUUUUCUGGGCUGCCCAAAAAGCAGUCUUCGUGAUCGGUCAACGAGGUUUGACCGAUCGUAUCUCUUAAGCUAUUCAUGAUCUGGUCGUUUUUCGUGUUUCAGAGGACAGUCUACAUGACAUAAAACACAUUCAAAACAUAAAACACACCUAACAAUUAACAUAGAGAGAUCUAUGAGCUCUGACAUAUGGCUGUUAGACCAUAUUUUAGGGUUCAUAGUCAGUGCAUAAAAACAUGAUUUUCGUGCAUCCAAGUGUUAUAGGUCCAUGAUCUAUCAACCCAGAUCACUCCAAGACACCCUCUAACACAUUUCUAACCAACAAAUAACAACAUCAAACACAAGAUCACUGAUUUUCAAAAUUUAAGGGUUCUUUACCUUUUUAGCUUGAUCCUUUGAAUCUGACUUCUGAUUGUUGUUCUUGGCUUGAUAAGAGGUUAACCUAUCUUAACUUUUCUCUCUAUCUCACUCUAGAUUUCGAAGAUGGAGAGAGAGGAUGAGUUUGUAGAAAAUGAAAAGUCAAGUGAGACUUUUCUCUUUCUUUAAUCUAUAAACUACUUAGAUUCAAUGAAUUUGCUAGCAAG